UCGGUUAAACCGAUUUCCUGUUUUUGACUAAAACAGACCAGGUAACCUUAUAAUAUCAUCCAAGCAUCUUCUAAUACUAAUAUAAUGAUAAUAUUAUUAUCUCUCUUCUUUCAUGAAUCGUGUCCGGUUCGUCAAACAGAGACUAUUUACGAAAACUAAAAUCAAAACUCCUAACUGAUACGGUUCAAAAACAAGGUUCUUCAUGACUGCGUUAUCGAGCUUGCCUCAGAAGAGGUUCUAGCUUAAGGAUGACAUAAUGACAAUGAGGAUUGAGAUGCUUGAUAAUACAGCAGAGGUGUUCCCGUUACUGAUCUUCCGAAGAAAUCCGUGCCUUCAGAAAAGAUCUCGCGUACUCGAAAAACGGGGUUGUUACAGUCUUCCUUUAGCUAACUCUUAUUGACAAGCUCCGCAAAAUUGCAUAUUUCCAAUGGUAACAACGAAUCUAUUAUCUCAUCUCAAAGUCCUCCUUCGUACUUCAAAGACUUCCAUUCUUCAAAAUCGUCUAGAUUUCCCUGACAGAUCUUAGAGAAUCAGUACAGAUCCUCAAAUUUCCGUGUAUACUCUGCCACUAACAUAUUCCAUUGUUUCAACUGCAUCAAUUCCAUCUCUUUAGCAUCACGAAUGGAUCUAUGAAAAUACUUUUUGUAAAAUUCCUCCUUAAAAGUAUCCCAGACAGUCUCUCUUGACUCCUGCCGCAGCAAAUGUUGCACUCCAUGCCACCAGUGCUCAGCUUUCCCUUCCAACAUAUAGGUUGCAAACUCUACAUGUUGUCCUUCUGGUGCAUGUUACGCUUUUAACGAAUUUUCAAUACCUCGGAACCAGUUAUCAGCUUCAAUAGCCACCAGCGUUCCUCUAAACUUGCACGGAUUUACUUUCAGAAAAGUUGCCAGCGUCAUAGGGUUAUCAUGAUUUCCAACACCUUCAUUACCAUUACAGUCUCUGUUGUGCUCACCAUUACGUCCUCCAUUACGAUCUCGAUUCCUAUCUCCUAAAUUGCUUGCAUUGUAGCAGUUGCUGUUUCAUGCUCAGCCUCAGCCAUGGUGUUUACCGCAGUUAUAAAAGUAUUUGCAUCCCUCAUCGGAUCAUCUACAAGGUUUGCACCACGCCUACCAUGUCCUCGUCUCUGUGCAGCCAUCAAGAUCCUGUUCACACCUUACAUUCAAUAUUAAGGUGAUCAGUCUUAACAUCUAAGAUAAAGUGUGAAUAGUCUCUGAAAUGGAUAUACAUCGACAUUCAUGCAAUAUAUAUUAUCAAAAUAUCCUAAAUGCAUGAAAUACAACUUAGAGUAUGCAAUGAACCAUGAUUCAGUCUGCUCCUCAGGCUCUAAGUAGAACGAACUACUCUGAUACCAAAUUAUAACGACCCAAUUUUUAGUACGUCAUGAUCAUACUGAAAAUCAAGCGUCACUAACUUGCUUUCCUAAAAAUUAACUAAAUAUUUAUUAUUAAGCCUGUAAUCAUAUUAGUGCGCGAUCAAAUUUUCAGAAAAACCCUUUUCUUAAAAAGAAAUAAUUAAAUAAGUACGAUAAAAUAACACAAAUAUCAGAGAUAGAGAUAAUAUACAUCAUAUGAUAAUAUACAGGUCAUAAGUUAGCGUACAACCCUUCACAUCUUGUUAUUAUAUACAUAAUCAAUACUCCGGGCCCUGGUCCAUAUAGGAAGCCCCUAAGCUGGCGUCUGAAAAUUAGCCUAGUCAACUAUACACAUCCUACUCUCUCAACGAGUCUAAUCAAAAGUGAGAUACUAAACACAAAAGCUAGGCUAACACAAAAAACUCCCAAAAGUCACAUCUUCAGCUUCCAAGCAUCAACUGUCAUCGUCGGAGAAAAUCUCAAUCAUAUCCGAACACUCCUCUGAAUCCUCGUCCUUAUCAUCAGAAAUCUCAAUAAUCUUAGGAAGGGUCCUAGCACUCGUACUCGUGCUCUGGCCCAUACUCGUCGGUCCACUAAUAGAGGUGGUGUGCAGAUUCUCAGAUGAAGGCUUAGAUGAAGAUAAUGAGAUCUGCUCUACAGGAAUAUCCCACUCAGGUAUAGGCUUUGGAACAUGCUUCUCCAUAGGCUCAGACUCAGGGACCACCUGAGCCUCAGGCUGAUCAGGGUGUUGAUGCGGUAUAUAUAUGUCCAUCAUGGAAUGAGUGAAACGGAGCAUCAGGAUGAAGCCAAUGCAACGGAAACUCAUAAGGUAAGUCAGGGUUGAAGAGCGGAGUGUUAAUCGGGUGUCGAAAAGGGUGGUCGCGCAGAAGCUACAUAUGGGUCCUAAUCUCUGUAGCUACUACGUAAAAUCUAUGUUGUACAAGAUCCUCAUAUAUAGGAAUGGUCCAUCUCAUAGAAUAGGAUGCCCAUCUCCAUCUGAUGGGGAAGGAAGGAAAGGGUAAGAACUGGGGAGUUCUUAGUAGGGUCGGGUGCAGUUAGUUAAGUCAAUAUUAUCACAGUUCAAUUAAUUCACAACCAAAUAUACAAGCAUCAUAGAGAAAUAGCCAGUCACAACAAUUCAGAAUACCAUUAAGGAAUGCACAAACAUAAGAAGACAAUCACAAACAAUUUUACAUUAUCAAGUAAAAUACAAAUGCGCAGCAAGGAUGAUGCAUGUCUAGUCCUAUCGCAGGUAAUGAGCUCAUUUGUCAGUUUUGACCCACGCCCGACGCGAUCCAACUCGCGAGUCGGAUGAGGCUUUCCACUUACAUACCCUUUGCAAGUUUCUACUUGCAGGCGCUGAUUCUCCAGUUGAAGUAUGUCGAACAUGACCUCUGCAAGUACUUAUAGGCGCUGAUUCUCCAGCUAAAGCAUGUGACCCCUUCUCCUGGCCAUUCCAUAUUUACGGCCAUCCCCACGCAAUUAUUCACAUACAAAGCCCACGGCUUGUUAGCAUUUAUCCUUUGGCACCAUAACCAUACUAUCAUCACCCACUCGUGACUUUCCCAUAAUCACACAUGCCGAUUUAUCUUCUCUUUUUCUUCAAUCUUUUACUUAUUUAUCCUUAAUAGUUUAAACUAUCUUCA